rnacentral:rRNA from 1 species
CGGGGGGGGCAAGCGUUGUUCGGAAUUACUGGGCGUAAAGGGCGCGUAGGCGGCCUGCUAAGUCGGACGUGAAAUCCCUCGGCUCAACCGGGGAACUGCGUCCGAUACUGGUGGGCUCGAAUCCGGGAGAGGGAUGUGGAAUUCCAGGUGUAGCGGUGAAAUGCGUAGAUAUCUGGAGGAACACCGGUGGCGAAGGCGGCAUCCUGGACCGGUAUUGACGCUGAUGCGCGAAAGCCAGGGGAGCAAACGGGAUUAGAUACCCCGGUAGUCCUGGCCCUAAACGAUGAGUGCUUGGUGUGGCGGGUAUCGAUCCCUGCCGUGCCGAAGCUAACGCAUUAAGCACUCCGCCUGGGGGAGUACGGUCGCAAGGCUG